rnacentral:rRNA from 1 species
ACGCUAGCUACAGGCUUAACACAUGCAAGUCGAGGGGAAACGGCGUUUAGUGCUUGCACUGAAUGGACGUCGACCGGCGCACGGGUGAGUAACGCGUAUCCAACCUUCCCAUUACUGUGGGAUAACCUGCCGAAAGGCAGACUAAUACCGCAUAGUCUUCGAUGACGGCAUCAGAUUUGAAGUAAAGAUUUAUCGGUAAUGGAUGGGGAUGCGUCUGAUUAGCUUGUUGGCGGGGUAACGGCCCACCAAGGCAACGAUCAGUAGGGGUUCUGAGAGGAAGGUCCCCCACAUUGGAACUGAGACACGGUCCAAACUCCUACGGGAGGCAGCAGUGAGGAAUAUUGGUCAAUGGACGAGAGUCUGAACCAGCCAAGUAGCGUGCAGGAUGACGGCCCUAUGGGUUGUAAACUGCUUUUGUAUGGGGAUAAAGUCAAUCACGUGUGAUUGUUUGCAGGUACCAUACGAAUAAGGACCGGCUAAUUCCGUGCCAGCAGCCGCGGUAAUACGGAAGGUCCGGGCGUUAUCCGGAUUUAUUGGGUUUAAAGGGAGCGUAGGCCGGAGAUUAAGUGUGUUGUGAAAUGUAGACGCUCAACGUCUGACUUGCAGCGCAUACUGGUUUCCUUGAGUACGCACAACGUUGGCGGAAUUCGUCGUGUAGCGGUGAAAUGCUUAGAUAUGACGAAGAACUCCGAUUGCGAAGGCAGCUGACGGGAGCGCAACUGACGCUUAAGCUCGAAGGUGCGGGUAUCGAACAGGAUUAGAUACCCUGGUAGUCCGCACAGUAAACGAUGGAUGCCCGCUGUUGGUACCUGGUAUCAGCGGCUAAGCGAAAGCAUUAAGCAUCCCACCUGGGGAGUACGCCGGCAACGGUGAAACUCAAAGGAAUUGACGGGGGCCCGCACAAGCGGAGGAACAUGU